rnacentral:rRNA from 1 species
AGUGGGGAAUAACUCCGGGAAACUGGAGCUAAUACCGCAUGUGGUGGUGAGGGUGAUGCUUCAUCUCUAAAGCCUUCGGGCGCUUGGGGAGAGGCUUGCGUCCGAUUAGCUAGUUGGUAGGGUAACGGCUUACCAAGGCGAUGAUCGGUAGCUGGUCUGAGAGGAUGGUCAGCCACACUGGAACUGAGAUACGGUCCAGACUCCUACGGGAGGCAGCAGCAAGGAAUAUUGUGCAAUGGGCGAAAGCCUGACACAGCGACACCGCGUGGGGGAUGAAGGCUUUCGGGUUGUAAACCCCUUUUUCCAGGGAAGAACAAUGACGGUACCUGGGGAAUAAGUCUCGGCUAACUACGUGCCAGCAGCCGCGGUAAUACGUAGGAGGCGAGCGUUAUCCGGAUUUAUUGGGCGUAAAGCGGGUGUAGGCGGCUUUUCAAGUCAGAUGUGAAAUCUCUCAGCUCAACUGGGAGGGGUCAUCUGAUACUGUUGGGCUAGAGGGCAGCAGAGGGAGGUGGAAUUCCCGGUGUAGUGGUGAAAUGCGUAGAUAUCGGGAGGAACACUAGUGGCGAAGGCGGCCUCCUGGGCUGUUGCUGACGCUGAGACCCGAAGGUGUGGGGAGCGAACAGGAUUAGAUACCCUGGUAGUCCACGCAGUAAACGAUGGACACUAGAUAUGGGGAGUAUCGACCCUCUCUGUGCCGAAGCUAACGCGUUAAGUGUCCCGCCUGGGGAGUACGGCCGCAAGGCUAAAACUCAAAGGAAUUGACGGGGGCCCGCACAAGCAGCGGAGCGUGU